rnacentral:rRNA from 1 species
AUUGAACGCUGGCGGCAGGCUUAACACAUGCAAGUCGAGCGGGGAAAGGUAGCUUGCUACCUGACCUAGCGGCGGACGGGUGAGUAAUGCUUAGGAAUCUGCCUAUUAGUGGGGGACAACAUCUCGAAAGGGAUGCUAAUACCGCAUACGUCCUACGGGAGAAAGCAGGGGACCUUCGGGCCUUGCGCUAAUAGAUGAGCCUAAGUCGGAUUAGCUAGUUGGUGGGGUAAAGGCCUACCAAGGCGACGAUCUGUAGCGGGUCUGAGAGGAUGAUCCGCCACACUGGGACUGAGACACGGCCCAGACUCCUACGGGUGGCAGCAGUGGGGAAUAUUGGACAAUGGGGGGAACCCUGAUCCAGCCAUGCCGCGUGUGUGAAGAAGGCCCUUUGGUUGUAAAGCACUUUAAGCGAGGAGGAGGCUACCGAGAUUAAUACUCUUGGAUAGUGGACGUUACUCGCAGAAUAAGCACCGGCUAACUCUGUG